rnacentral:rRNA from 1 species
GAGUGUAGGUGGCUCAUUAAGUCACAUGUGAAAUCCCCGGGCUUAACCUGGGAACUGCAUGUGAUACUGGUGGUGCUAGAAUAUGUGAGAGGGAAGUAGAAUUCCAGGUGUAGCGGUGAAAUGCGUAGAGAUCUGGAGGAAUACCGAUGGCGAAGGCAGCUUCCUGGCAUAAUAUUGACACUGAGAUUCGAAAGCGUGGGUAGCAAACAGGAUUAGAUACCCUGGUAGUCCACGCCGUAAACGAUGUCUACUAGCCGUUGGGGUCCUUGAGACUUUAGUGGCGCAGUUAACGCGAUAAGUAGACCGCCUGGGGAGUACGGCCGCAAGGUUAAAACUCAAAUGAAUUGACGGGGGCCCGCACAAGCGGUGGAGCAUGUGGUUUAAUUCGAUGCAACGCGAAGAACCUUACCUGGUCUUGACAUAGUGAGAAUCCUGCAGAGAUGCGGGAGUGCCUUCGGGAAUUCACAUACAGGUGCUGCAUGGCUGUCGUCAGCUCGUGUCGUGAGAUGUUGGGUUAAGUCCCGCAACGAGCGCAACCCUUUUCCUUAUUUGCCAGCGGGUUAAGCCGGGAACUUUAAGGAUACUGCCAGUGACAAACUGGAGGAAGGCGGGGACGACGUCAAGUCAUCAUGGCCCUUACGACCAGGGCUACACACGUGCUACAAUGGUAGGUACAGAGGGUUGCUACACAGCGAUGUGAUGCUAAUCUCAAAAAGCCUAUCGUAGUCCGGAUUGGAGUCUGCAACUCGACUCCAUGAAGUCGG